rnacentral:rRNA from 1 species
UACGUAGGGGGCAAGCGUUGUCCGGAAUUAUUGGGCGUAAAGAGCGCGUAGGCGGUCCGAUAAGUCGGCUGUGAAAGUCAAAGGCUCAACCUUUGAAAGCCGGUGGAUACUGUGGGACUAGAGUACGGAAGAGGCGAGUGGAAUUCCUGGUGUAGCGGUGGAAUGCGCAGAUAUCAGGAGGAACACCAAUAGCGAAGGCAGCUCGCUGGGACGUUACUGACACUGAGGCGCGAAAGCGUGGGGAGCGAACAGG